rfam:Felis catus isolate Cinnamon breed Abyssinian chromosome C1, whole genome shotgun sequence.
GCCUGGGUGGCUCAGUCAGUUGAGCGCCCGACUUCAGCUCAGGUCAUGAUCUCACAGUUCGUGAGUUCGAGCCUUGCGUCAGGCC